UUGUGUGCAUUUGUUUGCGUGUCGACGUGUCAGAAAUGGUUCAGUUCAUAGUUAUUUAUUCGUAGCUUCGUUGGAGUUGAGCCAUAUAUGAAAAUGGAGUAUAACGAUGAGUAGAAUCACAUGAACCACUUUGUUUUUCUGUUUAACAAACAUAAAAUGUAAUUAGGACAAAUCUGGAAAGAUUACAAAGUUAACGUGUGGGGUCAGUUAAGAGACGCUAUAUGUCGUUUUCGGCCUCAUUUAAAAUGCCUAGAUAGGUAGAUUAUUUGUGCUUCAUCCCUUUCCAUGUUAACAACAUUUUAAUAUUGUUGGCUUAAUAAACAUGAGUGAACUAAAUAAUUAAAUGUGGAGUUUUGUCAAUAUGCAACUCGUUGCAUAUUAAGCUUCACUUAAUGUGUAGUGUUGCGAGAUGUGAAUUGCCAAGCCGUGCCUUGCAUAAUUAAUUUGUAAAUGCAUCAUCUUAGGGUGUUCAUCAUGUCGUGCAUGUGCCGUGGUGAAUAUCGGUUUGCUUCGUCCCGAUAGAGUUCCCCAAGCGUGUCGGAAUGUGAGGAUCCAUUCGACUACGUCGGUUCAUGUGCUUCAUGGGUUCGUCUUCUUCCAAGCGGGAUCUCAGGCAAGAU
rnacentral:lncRNA from 1 species